CUUUGAAAAGUGCGCCUUCGUCUACCCGGGAUUUCCGUUGUUUGGUAACCCUCGGUCAGCGAGUGGCGCUGAGUAUGGACAUUUGUGCGGCCGGGGUUGGGGUGGUUGACGACAGAGAGCGGCUCGGUUUCGAAAGCCUUAAAAGUAACAGAUUCUUCCAAAGCAGGUUGAGCUCGGUCUGCCUCCGAAGAUUCAAGCUGGCUGAGGUUGCGCAGAUGUUGCCUUUGUUUAAAGAGACAGUAAUUAAGGACAGGGUGGACAUAAGUUUGAGAAGCGUGACCUAUUUUCUUUUGAUCAGCUGUCAAAAGAAGAGCAGGGGGUAUCCUUAAGACAGACCCCUCCAACCACUUCCAGCUGCUAGAGAAAACUUGAUAAGAAAACAGGGACACAGUCUGGAAUACCGCAUAAGCCUUCCUGGCGCUAGAGAAAGGUUUAAUUCAUUUGUAAAACAGUUCUUAGUCUAGGUGACCUUUUACGCCUGCCCUCCCCUCUCUUCUAGUUGCCGAGCAAAAAAUUCCACCCCCCUCCCACAUCAUCCUGUCACAUGAAUAUACUAUUUAUAGAUCAAUAGUGACACUAUUUAUAGAUCAACUUCAUUGAGCUCUGGCCAAUAUCUUGCCAAUUCUUCUUUCAAAAAGCUUCUCUCUGUGAUUUCGAAGCCUGGGUAAGAAGGUGGACCAUCCCCUGCUUUACCGGACAUACUUUUCUAGCUAUUCAUGUUUUUAAUGUCACUGCACUAGACAGGUAAAAUCACCCAGUUUUCUGUUACUCUGACUUUCCUAUUUCUCUGACUCUCUGCUACUAUCUCUCUUCCUACUCUCUACUUUAUACAUGGUGGCUGGACAUUUGGGAAACAGUUGUUUGAAAUACACAUGGAGUUGAACAAAAGUUCACAAAAGUGCAAUCUCCUGUUGGUCCAGGAGUGCUCAGAGACUAGAAUAGGGCAGGAGAAGAGCAAGGCAGGGGAGGAAUCUGUUUGAUGUGCCCAGUGCUGAAGGCAGACCCCUCUGCCAGGCUUCAGUCUCAAAGAGUGGCCAGUGACCACAGGGUGAGACGCUGAAUAGUCACUGCCUCCGUUCAGAAACCUAAGCAUAUAAAUUUCCAUUUAAAUAAUUUUUGAAAAUGAUAAACUCAUUUACCAGGGUAACAAGAUAAAUCUGCUCCUGGAUAUUGGAUCUCAGAGUGCCUGGGAGCAGUCACGUGCUGGGGAGUUGAAAGGGGUAUUGAUCAGGAUCUGUGAGCUGCAGACCCCAUGCCAAUCCAUAGCGUUUCUGGCAAUCAGCGUCGCCCAUGAAUUGCAGCUGUCUGUGUAGCUCCGGAACAGAAAUCUUCAAAAAAGUGCCCCCCCCAUCAAACACAUCAUCCGUUCAGGGUUUCAGCCAGUGAAGACCUUGUAAAUAAAAGUGAUGUCACACUAAAAAGGCACAUAUCAUCCACAACGGAGACUUCAGCCCUAGUGCUUCGAUGAUCGAUGGUUAUAUUUUUCCAGUGUGCAGUGGCACCUGAGCGAACAGAGACCACCAAGGGUGUUUCCAGAGAUAAAUGAUAAAAAAAACUUUGGACAGCAUUGAUUUUAAGAAAUUCUCUGCUGGAACCAUCAGGAAAAUUCCAGGCUUCCACUACUGGAGAAGAGGGGGAAAGAUGCAAUUAUUCUGAGGCACCAAAGAUUUGAGCAAAUGUUUUUGCAAAAUCUGGCAGAAGUUCCUUUAUUCCAAGGACCCAAGUAGCUGGAUUUGUUUCUCUCUGGAGCAAGGGGUCAGCUCUUGGCUGGAUGAGGACCAUUGUUUAGUGGGAGGUGCCAGCCCUUCCCCACUGGAGCUGAACACCUUGGUGCCCCUGGAAAGACAGGCUGUACAGGUGUUGAGGCUGGUUGCCUGCACACAUGGUCCCUUCCACCACACCUUUUCCAGCUACAUCCCAGUUUACCCCAGAGGACCUGCCUUCCCCAUCAUCUGCUUGUGGGAAGCACUCCAUCCGAACAUACAUCUGUGAGUCUUGUGGUGUGAAGGGCCAGAUGCAGACAGAGGCCACCUUCAGCCCCAGGAGGUGGGCUUGAGUGGAGCCUCCCCGGCCUCCCACACCACAGCUGGGGCCAGGAGUAGAGCCUGGGCAUCACCGUCGGUCUUCGCUGGGGAAAUCCGAUCCCACCCAGAUAUAGACGCUCAAAUAUGAAGUUCUCUAUUGCUGGAGAAAAUAAAUGAAGCAAAAAUGCAGCAGCCCCGAGGAGGACCAGGACAAGCUGAGCAGCCACACUGAAACCGAAGACCUACAAGUCCCAUGAACUGGACCAUCUCUAGAUAAAACCGCAAGUGGAAUCCCAGCUGUCACAGGAGGUCUCAGAACAGCCUAGAUGAGAGCUGACAGCUUCCCCUCUCAACGCCGCCUUGGGAUUCCCAGAGCACUCCUGCCACAGCUUCUGACCUGAACUGUACAAACCCAGCAGCCCAGUCUGCCUUCUCAGGAACCCUGGGGAAUCAAGCUGGCAAAGGCAUCACCAUCAGACGGCUUUCUGCUGAACGGCUCAGGAAGAGGAAGCCAGCUUGCAAUCUUCAAGUAUCCACAGCCCAGGGAGCUGCUGCACUGCGAGGCUGUAACAGACACCUGCCUCAGGCAGGCCAGUGGGGUGGAGCCCUCUGAGGAAGAGGGGGGAAGGGGAGGGGCAAGAGGACUUGGGAGGAGGAAGAGAAAGGAAGGAAAAAGGCAGAGAGGGAAGGAGAAGCCAGUCAAGACCCCUGACUGCCCCUGAAUCCUUUUGCAGACCCAUUAUCAAAAUUGAUUUUAAUAAAUGAAAGAUUUACCUGGGUCGAACAUUGUUUUUAACUGGCGGCAAUUAAUUAAUUAACCAUCACUAGCCUGGACAGCAUAAUGGGAUGAUAUUUUGAUGCUAACACAUUAUUGAAAAGGACAAGCCAUGUUUUGUUUUGUUUUUUUUCCCAAGUAAUCAAUUAAUCAGCCCCAAAUGAAGAUUCAGACCACUGCCUAUGCUCACAGGCACUUUAAUAGCUUCCUUUACCAGGACCCCAAAUACCCUCUUUAAGACUCUGUGCCCCGGGAAGCAGUUUGAGGUAAGUCAAUGUUAACUCAGUAUUUAAAAAUUACAAUAGUUUACUUUAAGAAAUCUCUAAAACAUCUUCUUCAUAAUUAAUAAAUGAAAAAUGUUCCUGCAGCUAAUCAAUAAAGUUGUUAGAGAGAAUUGAUCGGAUGGGGAACUCUUUUUGUGGGUACAAUUUUUCACCUAUUCAGAACAAAAGACUCCCUGGAGCACGAUCAACGUGAUAGACACUUAAGAGUCUGACCCAAAAGAAAAAAAAAAAACACAGAAAGACGAUUAAUUAAAAUCUCCAGGAGUGACAUUUGCUUCCAUCUUGUGGGCGAAGAGCCGGGUCAGGUGUGCAGGUGGCUACUGUGAAGCUUCAGGAAGGUUGGAGAGGCAGAGGUGCCUGGGGACGACCAUCACCCUGAGGCUGUGCCCUGGACAUGCUGGAGUCCCAGCCUCCUUGGAGAAUAAAAACAGAGCUGGUCCAUGGAGGUCUGUGUUCAUUCAAGUUGGUCAAGGAGCAUGGUAGCCGUAAUCUCACAGCAAGCCCAGGAGAUGGGUGAAGUGAUUAUGACCAUUUUACAGAGGAGUCAUCUGAGACCUAGAAGGGGGGUGUCAUUGGCUAAAGACGACAUGCCUAAUAAGAAGCCCUCAGGUAGGUUUUGAAGCCAGGUUUGUCUGAUUUGAGGACAUUGCUCUAACCAUGAGGACACCCUGCCCCAAAUGAAUAUUGGGCAGCUGGGACGGCACAGAGCAGAGCUGGGCCUGGUAGCUCUGAACACACAGGAUUGAAUGAGAGAAUUCAGAUCCAUGAAGCUUUACCUCAUGUAAUUAAGUAGAGUAAUGUAAUAUUUUGUCCCUCUUUCUAGAAUGUGGACUACCAGUCUUCUUCAAGCUGAGAAAGGGUGAAGGUUGUUGAGAAGGCAGAGCAGAAGGACAGCUAUAAUUUGCCCAAAGGAUUUUUGUCCAGAAAGCUUACUCUUUUAUUAGAGUAACCAGAAUCUAAUUAGCUGAUAACUUUACAGUAUUCUUGGACAACUGGGGCACGUAUUUAAAAUGCAGGUACUCCAACCCAAACCAGAACUACUGUCAUAGGCACUUUGCAUUUUUAACAAGCUCCCCAUGUCAUUCUGAUAUCUUGUUAAGUGUGACAGCCAGUGAUGCAGCACCUCCACCUUAGCCCCAUCUCCCAUCCCCAAUGAGAUGCUGGUGGGUGAUAUCUUAGGGAUGUACACAGGGGGUAUUCAGGUUGUUUAUUGUGGUAUAACAAACCACCCAAAAUGUAGUGACUUAAAAUCACUCAGUGCUAAAAACAAACCUUUAUUUAGCCCACCAAUCUGUGGGGUAAGCCCAUCUCUGCUCCGUGUGGCAUCAACUGGGGCUAAAGUAUUUACUUCCAGGAUGACUUAUUCCCAGGGCUGGAAAGUUGGUACUGGUGUGGGCUGGGAGUUCACGUGGGACUAACAGCCAGGGAUCUUGGUUCCUCUCCACACGGACCUCUCCACAGGCUGCUUGGCCUUCCCUACAGCAUGGUGGCUGGAUUCCAAGAAGCCAAGUUCCAAGAGGAAGAAGGUACAAGCUGCCGGUUUCUUAGAGUCCUGUGCUGGGAAACUGGUUCAGCAUCACUUACUUCUGCAGUCAUUCUGUUAGUCAGUCGACCAUGGGGCCCAGAUUCAAGGAGAAGGAACAGAGACAUUCUCUCAAUGACAGGAAUGUCAAAGAAUCUGGGGACAUGUUUUAAAACCACUACCAUCCAGAUGUCUGGCAUGAACCCACCUUUGCAAUUAAUUAGUUUUGUCAUGGUAGAGGAUCCCUUUUCUUUUCCAGUCUUGAGCAAGGCAAAUAGGUGUGUGUACUGCUGUCCAAGGACCUCUGAUGCUAUGUCUACACCUCACAAACAGGAGAAGUAGAGAACAUGGGGGCAGGAAACUCCUCUGUAAUGUUUGCCUUAGUUCUUCAGUGGUUAAUAUUGUAUUGAGAUUCCUGCACACACACCUGAAAUCCAUGUCCUUGUGGGGCUUAUUUAGCUUGGCUGCAGUUUUAGGUCAAUUUCAGAAAUCCUCCCCGAGUUCCCGAGAAGGCUGCAGAGGUUAACUCAAGCAUUGGGAUACACACCUCGUUACAUGGCCAUUCCCUCCCUCAGGUCUGCCCAGCAUGAGGACACAAUCAUGCAACAGCUCGCUCAGAAUCUAAAGGUCAUUCUUCAGAAGAAUGCAGAUAAAAAGAAUAUCUGCUUCGGUGUUGCUUUAGUGUCUUCGGAGAUCUGCUCAAAAGAGCAUCAAAUAUCCCCCAAGUUAGGGAAGAGCCAGCGAGAAGAGAAGAGGGGGAGUUGGCCAGUCCAUCUUACUUCCUCAUUCCGGCAAUGAAAGAUGCUGUUACUUCCCCCUGACAAUGUUAAAGGGAUCAGGGGGAUCAGUGAGGUCCCUCCAUCAUAGCGAUACCUGGGACACACAAUGGGGGACUCGUACCAAGACCUCAGGUAGGUGUGCAAAGUGAGGGGUGAAAAUGAAGCACCUUCCAAACCACCCAGAACAAAUAGAGCAGCAGAGAUGUGGUUCCAAAACUCACAUGGCUGAUUUGACACAUAACCAUGAGAAAGAUCAUCAUUUUCCAUACGGAUGACUACCAGGCACAUGAAAUAAUGCUCAGCAUCUCUAGUUAUUAGAGAAAUGCAGAUCAAGACUACAAUGAGGUACCACCUCACACCAGUCAGAAUGGCCAUCAUUAAU